rnacentral:rRNA from 1 species
AACGAACGCUGGCGGCAUGCCUAACACAUGCAAGUCGAACGAAGGCUUCGGCCUUAGUGGCGCACGGGUGCGUAACGCGUGGGAAUCUGCCCUUAGGUUCGGAAUAACAGUUAGAAAUGACUGCUAAUACCGGAUGAUGACGUAAGUCCAAAGAUUUAUCGCCUGAGGAUGAGCCCGCGUAGGAUUAGCUAGUUGGUGUGGUAAAGGCGCACCAAGGCGACGAUCCUUAGCUGGUCUGAGAGGAUGAUCAGCCACACUGGGACUGAGACACGGCCCAGACUCCUACGGGAGGCAGCAGUGGGGAAUAUUGGACAAUGGGCGCAAGCCUGAUCCAGCAAUGCCGCGUGAGUGAUGUAGGCCUUAGGGUUGUAAAGCUCUUUUACCCGUGAUGAUAAUGACAGUAGCGGGAGAAUAAGCCCCGGCUAACUCCGUG